UACGGGGGGGCAAGCGUUGUUCGGAAUUACUGGGCGUAAAGGGCUCGUAGGCGGCCAACUAAGUCGGACGUGAAAUCCCCAGGCUCAACCUGGGAACUGCGUCCGAUACUGGCAGGCUUGAAUCCGGGAGAGGGAUGUGGAAUUCCAGGUGUAGCGGUGAAAUGCGUAGAUAAUCUGGAGGAACACCGGUGGCGAAGGCGGCAUCCUGGACCGGUAUUGACGCUGAGGCGCGAAAGCUAGGGGAGCAAACGGG
rnacentral:rRNA from 1 species